CGCGCAGGCGGUUUUUCAAGUCAGUGGUGAAAGCCCGGAGCUCAACUCCGGAAAUGCCAUUGAAACUGUAAAACUUGAGGACGAGAGAGGUGAGUGGAAUUCCCAGUGUAGAGGUGAAAUUCGUAGAUAUUGGGAAGAACACCGGUGGCGAAGGCGGCUCACUGGCUCGUUUCUGACGCUCAGGCGCGAUAGCGUGGGGAUCAAACAGGAUUAGAUACCCUGGUAGUCCACGCCGUAAACGAUGGAUGCUAGCCGUUGGAUAGCUUGCUAUUCAGUGGCGCAGCUAACGCAUUAAGCAUCCCGCCUGGGGAGUACGGCCGCAAGGUUGAA
rnacentral:rRNA from 1 species